CGCGCGAUGAACGGAAUGGGCGCGAAAACAAGGAUGCUGGUACCCAAUUAGCACAGAUGAGAGCACAUGAAUGAAUAUCAGAUAAUGUCUCAGGAAAGAAAAGAAAUUG